rnacentral:lncRNA from 1 species
ACUUCACCACAUUUAAUAAACCACACUGACUGUUUAUUAAAUACUAGGUUUUUGAUAAUUAAGCUUCUCCCUAUAUACUUUGGGGGUCUUGAACAUCGUGCCUAGUGCUCAUAGCCUCUGAGAUGGUUCCUAAUGAUCCCUGCAUCCUCUUCACCUCCAGAAUGACUUAUCUCUCAUGGAUAAAUUGUGGCAGAAGUGAAGGAAGCUCACUGCUGAGGUUAGAUUAUGAAGAGCCUGUGCUUCUGUCUUGGUCCCCUCUUGCUCUCUUGCUAGUUGGCUCUGCUGGAAGACAGCUGUCUUGCUGUGAACUGCUCUGUGGACAUAGGACUAGAUGA